rnacentral:lncRNA from 1 species
GGAAAGCAUCGCAUUUCUCUGCAUACACCAAGAAAAUUAUUGUUUCCACAAGCAUCUUAUCUGUGAGAUCAGGUAAACAACAUUCUUGCAUAGACCCAGCUUACCUAAACUUCCUUUCACACAAAAAUAUUCAGUCGUGCACUAGUGCUGCAGACCAUAACUUAUUUUCAGAGUAAAAUGAAGAAGAUUGAAAAGUACCAUUACAGAGAAUAAGCACCUUAUAUACAGAAGGAAACAAUCAGUUCUUCAGAAACUCAUGUCUCCAACCACUUAUUAGUUUUGAUUUUCAAUCAGAGCAUAAUUAAAAAACAAAUUAAAGACAUCAAUUAUUCUAAGAUUGGUCUAUUCUCUAAUGUGAAUUACAAAACAUCAUAUAGAGGAACUUUGAUAACUUAACAUCUAUAAUUACUACUAACUUACUGGACACCAAGUAAAUACAUUUAGAAAGUUUACAGUGUCCAUGAGAUCAUAUGCUAUCACUCAAAGCCUUUCUGAUCAUAUCCUAUCACUCAAAGCCUUUAAGAUAACUGGGUAUCCUUGAAACUCCUGCCCCUUCGUAGAAAAUAAUAAGAGUUUCCAGUUAAGAAGAACUGUUCCUCAGAGUCCCUGAUAUACAAAAAUGACACAGAAACUAAUUUGACAGCACAUUAAAAAUAGUAGAUCAUAUCAUUACUAUACAAUAUUAUAGAACCUUCUAAUUCCAUAUACUACCAUCUGCAUGGAAUUCAUAAUGUGAUACAAAUAACUAGUAUUUAAUGCUAACACUGUAUGUUCUUCUUGAGCUAGAACAGAAUUUGGAUUCCCUAUUUUUUCCCAUACAACCAUAUUUAAAUUUAAAAUCACAACAGAUAAAUGAAUGUCCCAAUUCAAAUUUAAAAUC